rnacentral:tRNA from 1 species
GAGGGUAUAGCUCAGUGGUAGAGCGCGUGCUUAGCAUGCAUGAGGUCCUGGGUUCAAUCCCCAGUACCUCCA